AAAAAUACAAGGGACUUGCAAGAAAUAAAGGGGUCUCCUUAUAAGGUAGACAAAGAGAAAGCCUUGUGUGUGCAUCGUGUCCUAAGCUAGAAAGCGCAUAAUGAUAUUACAAACAUAACUCCUUUUCUUCUUUGAGGAUGUUGCCAUGAGUGCUCCCUUGUAAUAAAAGAUCAUAAAGUCCAAUAUGAUCCAAAUCAUGCGUAGGUCAAGCAAUGGUCCAAGGUCCAAUGCAAAGGUCCUAAAAGAAUCCUCUAAGUCCAUAGUCCAUUGUCCAUUAUCCAUGCUUAGAUCUUAAUCAAGUCUCUUUUUA
rnacentral:lncRNA from 1 species